rnacentral:tRNA from 1 species
GCCUGGUUGGCUCAGUCGGUUGGGCGUCCGACUUUGGCUCAGGUCAUGAUCUCGCAGGCCGUGAGUUCGAGCCCCGCAUCGGGCU